rnacentral:lncRNA from 12 species
AGGUUGAUUUUCUGUUUAGAUUAGGGCUGGAGAAUUCAGCAAGAUUUAAGAAGUGGAAGAUGGAAGGAUGUUAUCAGCAGAAGUGUCAAUUUAACUUUUCAGUGACUCCACCCAGAAAGGACCAAAGGUGCCAAAAUGUCAGCUAUUACUUCUUUCCUUAUUCCAGUGUGAGGAAAUUUCUUGUCACAUGACAAGGCAAAACUAUUACCUGGAGGCCACAUUUAGAAGAAAACCUAUGUUUUAAUUUUUGACUUUUAACAGGUAAUAAGUCCAGCUUUGUUUUUCUGCUUGUGAGCCAGUAUCGGGCAUAAAGCAAGAUGCUGAGCA